CAUCCCUAACUCCCGGCUCAUCCUAACAUAAGAGGCACUGCCAGGUCGCCCUCAGUACCUCAGCGUGUCUGGGUGCGAGGCAUCACAGCUGAACAAGAAGUCGGCGGCUCGCGGGUCACUGAUCGUUCCCCCUUCAGCCACUGUGGAGCUUCCUACCCCAGAAUUGCCUCAGAUCCUGGCUAACGCUGCCGCAAAACCAACCGCGCUGCCCUUGAAACAUGGCGUCGCCAAGCCUGCGGAGAUGUGAGAGAGGAGGCCGCAGAGCUGAGAUCCCUGAUUGGUUCCAGGUCCAAAGCCAAGCUCGAUGAUUGGUUCUCAAGAGGAAUGGCCGGGAAAGGCCUGAGGCCCUCAGAUGAGGGACAGUCACUACCAGACUGAGCUGACUGGUUCUCGGGAUCACUUAGGGGCCUCUCAGCCUUCCCCUGAUAAGAGGAGGGCGGCGACUCGAGUUGGUGAGGGUUUUUUGUUUGGUUGGUUGAUUUUGUUUUAAAUUUUGAGGUGGGGAGUUUUAAACCCUAAAUAUUAAUAAAGUUACCAUGCUUUAUGUUUACAGG